AUACGGAGGGUGCGAGCGUUAAUCGGAAUUACUGGGCGUAAAGCGUACGUAGGCGGUUGGUUAAGUUAGAUGUGAAAGCCCCGGGCUUAACCUGGGAACUGCAUUUAAAACUGGCGAACUCGAGUUGAGUAGAGGGGAGUGGAAUUUCAGGUGUAGCGGUGAAAUGCGUAGAGAUCUGAAGGAACACCAGUGGCGAAGGCGACUCCCUGGACUCGAACUGACGCUGAGGUACGAAAGCGUGGGUAGCAAACGGGAUUAGAAACCCUAGUAGUCC
rnacentral:rRNA from 1 species